rnacentral:rRNA from 1 species
ACGAACGCUGGCGGCGUGCUUAACCCAUGCCAGUCGAACGGAAAGGCCCUGCUUUUGUGGGGUGCUCGAGUGGCGAACGGGUGAGUAACACGUGAGUAACCUGCCCUUGACUUUGGGAUAACUUCAGGAAACUGGGGCUAAUACCGGAUAGGAGCUCCUGCUGCAUGGUGGGGGUUGGAAAGUUUCGGCGGUUGGGGAUGGACUCGCGGCUUAUCAGCUUGUUGGUGGGGUAGUGGCUUACCAAGGCUUUGACGGGUAGCCGGCCUGAGAGGGUGACCGGCCACAUUGGGACUGAGAUACGGCCCAGACUCCUACGGGAGGCAGCAGUGGGGAAUAUUGCACAAUGGGCGGAAGCCUGAUGCAGCAACGCCGCGUGCGGGAUGACGGCCUUCGGGUUGUAAACCGCUUUCGCCUGUGACGAAGCGUGAGUGACGGUAAUGGGUAAAGAAGCACCGGCUAACUACGU